rnacentral:rRNA from 1 species
UACGUAGGGUGCGAGCGUUAAUCGGAAUUACUGGGCGUAAAGCGUGCGCAGGCGGCUUUGCAAGACAGAGGUGAAAUCCCCGGGCUCAACCUGGGAACUGCCUUUGUGACUGCAAGGCUAGAGUACGGCAGAGGGGGAUGGAAUUCCGCGUGUAGCAGUGAAAUGCGUAGAUAUGCGGAGGAACACCGAUGGCGAAGGCAAUCCCCUGGGCCUGUACUGACGCUCAUGCACGAAAGCGUGGGGAGCAA